rnacentral:rRNA from 1 species
CUAGAAANNUUUUUUNCNCGCUCAGGACGAACGCUGGCGGCGUGCUUAACACAUGCAAGUCGAGCGGUAAGGCCUUUCGGGGUACACGAGCGGCGAACGGGUGAGUAACACGUGGGUGAUCUGCCCUGCACUUCGGGAUAAGCCUGGGAAACUGGGUCUAAUACCGGAUAUGACCUCAGGUUGCAUGACUUGGGGUGGAAAGAUUUAUCGGUGCAGGAUGGGCCCGCGGCCUAUCAGCUUGUUGGUGGGGUAAUGGCCUACCAAGGCGACGACGGGUAGCCGACCUGAGAGGGUGACCGGCCACACUGGGACUGAGACACGGCCCAGACUCCUACGGGAGGCAGCAGUGGGGAAUAUUGCACAAUGGGCGAAAGCCUGAUGCAGCGACGCCGCGUGAGGGAUGACGGCCUUCGGGUUGUAAACCUCUUUCAGCAGGGACGAAGCGCAAGUGACGGUACCUGCAGAAGAAGCACCGGCUAACUACGUGCCAGCAGCCGCGGUAAUACGUAGGGUGCAAGCGUUGUCCGGAAUUACUGGGCGUAAAGAGUUCGUAGGCGGUUUGUCGCGUCGUUUGUGAAAACCAGCAGCUCAACUGCUGGCUUGCAGGCGAUACGGGCAGACUUGAGUACUGCAGGGGAGACUGGAAUUCCUGGUGUAGCGGUGAAAUGCGCAGAUAUCAGGAGGAACACCGGUGGCGAAGGCGGGUCUCUGGGCAGUAACUGACGCUGAGGAACGAAAGCGUGGGUAGCGAACAGGAUUAGAUACCCUGGUAGUCCACGCCGUAAACGGUGGGCGCUAGGUGUGGGUUCCUUCCACGGAAUCCGUGCCGUAGCUAACGCAUUAAGCGCCCCGCCUGGANNCNCNNNU